UAGAUGUUGCUCUGUCGUUUCUUACUAAUACAGUUUUAAGAAGCCUGUGGUGUAGGUAUGUUUCCGUAAUCAGAAUAUGGUUAUCAGGUUAUAUGCUUCAGCAAAUUAUAAAUCAUGUAUGCACAUUCACUGACUGUACACUAAAAAUUUCUAACACUGAUUUGAUAAUGUGGUUGUUUGGAUCUUCUCAUGGGAAAUUUUAAAAGUUAUUCAGUAAAUUAAAAUGAGCAUUUGCUUUGUUCUCCUAAUCUGGAGAUUUUAUGAGCUUUUCAGUGAUCAGUUGGGAUCAUUUUCCCAAUAGCACCGAGUUAGAUCUUGUUUGGGGUGACCUCUCCUGACCUCCUCCCAGGUUCCCGGUCUGGAGCGGGAGGGGCGGAAGCCGGCGAGGCCAACCUCCCCUUCACACGCAGGUGCUCCCCCUCUCCCCCCCGUGCCCUCUCUCUCUUCCCUGACCCUUUUGGUUUUGCUCCUAGGAGAAGGAGGUUUGGUUUUGCUCCUACUCUACAUUCACUGCUGUUACCUGCACUUUGCCACUCAUGGACGCUUUUUGUUUAUUUUUUAUGCAUGUGUGCUGUCGGUGACAGGAGAGCAAGUCCCUCAAGUUCAUGAGGAAUCCGCUCUCAACUUGUUAACACAGGGGUAAGCCACCGAGUGAUACAUACACCCCUUACUCAUUUCUUUUCACUUACUGUAUGUGAAGCGAUACAAUUUGUCAGUAGAUAAAUAUCAAAGGACCAAAGGAGUUAACUUAUUCCCGGAAACAUAGCUCAAUGGAAUAAGCUCUGUAACUUUUAUUUAGCAUAUCAUACAUACAAGUAUACUGAUAUUAUAUUAGGACUUAAUGACGGAUAACAUAACACUUAUUUUUAACUGCAUACAUAGCAUGGUCUUGUCAUAUCUUCUUAUGUUGUAUCUAUUAUUCAUGUACAUACUCUAUGUGGUAUUCACAUGGUUGUGUCGCCAUUGACUUCCUUGUUGUAGGUGCUCAACAGGAGAAGCACUCAAUAGGAGAAGCAGGAGCAGCCGAGCGUUCGCCUGGUUGCAGGUCGACUUCAGGUCCCUUCUCUUCUUACUGAUUUAUUCCUCCCCUUCUCUUCCAGUCCCCUACUCACAGAGCUUCUCAUUUUGUUUUUCUAGAUUUGGUUUCUCUAUGUCUACAGGUUGUUUGAUGAAAAUCCAAAAAGGCUGACAUGGGAGAAUUAAUCUAUGCAAGUCAUGUGAUUUUAUUUUUCUAUAAUUUAGUUCCAGUCAAAGAUAACAAGUUGAGUAGUCCCAUUAAUUUUUUGCAAUUUAGGGCAUUGAAGGAGAUCAGAAUGCUUUUAUUUGUAUUUACAUCAUGUUCUUUAUUAUAGAACAACCACAGUGGAGAAAAUUAUCUCAUAUCUUUUGGAUGAUUUGGUUUAAUUGGCUAUUACGCAUGUUGGAAUGAAUUAGCAAGUACAGAAAUGAAUAACUGCAGCUCCUUCCCGAUUAGGUCGGGUUAAAUGCUUCCCAAAUACAAAUGGUCUCAGGAAAAAGGCAAAUAUGCAAUAAUUUUGUGUUUUUUCAAAGUAAGUAGAGUGGGUUACUACUAAACCAGAGGACGGGUAGUCAUUGCUUACUUAUGUAAAUAGAGAUCCAAUUGUCUCUUAUUAUGUGUAGGCAUAAAGUUGGAUCUUGGAUGCUUGGCAACGCCUUUCUAUGUUGUUUUCCUAUUUAUUUUAUUUAUUGUGCUUCCCUUUUUUGGACUACAAUGUUCUGGGAGGUGAGGAAAUGAGAUUGAACUACGUGUUUUCUUUUCAGGUAUACUUGAAGUUAACGAGUUUCCAAUUCCUUGUUGUUGUUAAUAAUAUGAAAGUGCAACCGUGGUUUUUGCUCCCAGCUGAUGCAUACUGCUUUGCUUGCAGCUAUCAUCAGCCAUUGUUGCUGGUACUGUCCCUUUUUGAGAACCAAAGAAAUAUUGAUUUUCAGCUCAGAUGUGUGUGUUAGGUGAUGUUGCAUGCCAUUUUUGUUCAUCGGCCUGGCAUGAUUUGGAUUGGAUCACCUGCGGAGGCAGGUUUCAUCACCUCGGACGGAGGGAGUAUAUGAUGUAAUUGGCCACUAUCACUAAGAAGUGCUCCUGGACACAAUGCUCUAUAUUAUCAUGUCU
rnacentral:lncRNA from 1 species